GGCCGGAUAGCUCAGUCGGUAGAGCAGAGGACUGAAAAUCCUUGUGUCGCAGGUUCGAUUCCCGCUCCGGCCA
rnacentral:tRNA from 3 species